rnacentral:rRNA from 1 species
AACGAACGCUGGCGGCAUGCCUAACACAUGCAAGUCGAACGAAGGCUUCGGCCUUAGUGGCGCACGGGUGCGUAACGCGUGGGAAUCUGCCCCUCGGUUCGGAAUAACAGUUAGAAAUGACUGCUAAUACCGGAUGAUGACUUCGGUCCAAAGAUUUAUCGCCGAGGGAUGAGCCCGCGUAAGAUUAGGUAGUUGGUGGGGUAAAGGCCUACCAAGCCGACGAUCUUUAGCUGGUCUGAGAGGAUGAUCAGCCAAACGGGGACUGAGACACGGACCAGACUGCAACGGAAGGCAGUAGUGGGGAAUCUUGGACAAUGGGCGAAAGCCUGAUCCAGCACUACCGCGUGAGUGAUGCAGGCCUUAGGUUUGUAAAGCUCUUUUCCCAGGGAUGAUAAUGACAGUACCUGGAGAAUAAGCUCCGGCUAACUCCGUGCCAGCCGCCGCGGUAA